GUGGAGCAGGGCUGGGGAGCUCUAGCCUGGAAAGCCCCAGGCUGUGGCCUAGCAGAGGACUGACAGCUUGCGGUACUGCGGUAUCACAGCUCCUGGCAGUGGGGAUCUCGCCCCUGUUCUCAGAACCAGCCAGAGCCUGACAGAGCUGAAACUGCGUGGUAAUAAUCUGGGAGAUGCUGGAGUGCGGCUGCUGUGUAAGGGGGUGAAACACCCGAACUGCAAACUGCAGAGACUGUAAAUAUACAGGAGGAAGACUCAGAGGCAGAGCUCCUUGUAUCACAAUCACAGCUCUUCCCAGCUGCUUCGACUUAUUCCUCCACUAUUCAGUAGAGUUACAACUAACGGAGUGAAUGCAUCUGGAGGACAUGCACUUAAACCCAGUGGCUAUUGUCAGCUCCAAGGGAGCAGAGUUAAGGUUGUGUGGGUGUUUGCCUUCACUUUGUAUUUCCUGGUUUUCUGAAGUGUGAGAAGGGCAUAAGCUAUCACUGGGCAGCCUUAACUCUGAAUUAAACAAGAUUUGUCAUUUAA